ACCAAAGCUGGCAUCCUUAUCAACUCCACCCAACCAAAGCUGGCAUCCUUUUUUUCUCUGAGCCCAGGUGGGCAGCCACGUUGCUAGUCGGCUCUCUCUGGGGCCUCUCAUCCCCUUAACUAGAGACCAAUAGCACCUUGGAGAUGCUCCAGGUGCCAGCAGAGAUGAGUUUUAUCCUUGCUACAAGCUUCUGGUCUUCGAUAUCCAACUGAAACAGAGUUUAAGGAGUUUUGGGUGGAUUCUUUACCAUCUGAGCUACCAGGGAAGCCCAGAAGAGGAGAUACGUCUUAUCAAAAGAACACAGCAGGGCAAAGGGGACAGAAGUCCAGAAGU
rnacentral:lncRNA from 1 species